GACGAACGCUGGCGGCGUGCUUAACACAUGCAAGCCACGGGGGCCCAGGGGCAACUCUGGGCCACCGGCGAACGGGUGCGUAACACGUGAGCAACCUGCCUAUCUGCGGGGGAUAGCCGGCCCAACGGCCGGGUAAUACCGCAUACGUUCACGAGGGGACAUCCCCUUGUGAGGAAAACUCCGGUGCAGAUAGAGGGGCUCGCGGCCUAUCAGCUAGUUGGUGAGGUAACGGCUCACCAAGGCGACGACGGGUAGCUGGUCUGAGAGGAUGGCCAGCCACAUUGGGACUGCGACACGGCCCAGACUCCUACGGGAGGCAGCAGUGGGGAAUAUUGCGCAAUGGACGAAAGUCUGACGCAGCGACGCCGCGUGUGGGAUGAAGCUCUUCGGGGGUGUAAACCACUGUUGCCCGGGAAGAAUCUCCUGAUUUAUCAGGAUUGACGGUACCGGGUGAGGAAGCACCGGCUAGCUCUGUGCCAGCCGCCGCCGU
rnacentral:rRNA from 1 species